rnacentral:rRNA from 1 species
GAUGAACGCUGGCGGCGUGCUUAACACAUGCAAGUCGAACGAAACACCUUAUUUGAUUUUCUUCGGAACUGAAGAUUUGGUGAUUGAGUGGCGGACGGGUGAGUAACGCGUGGGUAACCUGCCCUGUACAGGGGGAUAACAGUCAGAAAUGACUGCUAAUACCGCAUAAGACCACAGCACCGCAUGGUGCAGGGGUAAAAACUCCGGUGGUACAGGAUGGACCCGCGUCUGAUUAGCUGGUUGGUGAGGUAACGGCUCACCAAGGCGACGAUCAGUAGCCGGCUUGAGAGAGUGCACGGCCACAUUGGGACUGAGACACGGCCCAAACUCCUACGGGAGGCAGCAGUGGGGAAUAUUGCACAAUGGGGGAAACCCUGAUGCAGCGACGCCGCGUGAGUGAAGAAGUAUUUCGGUAUGUAAAGCUCUAUCAGCAGGGAAGAAAAUGACGGUACCUGACUAAGAAGCCCCGGCUAACUACGUG